GACGAACGCUGGCGGCGUGCUUAACACAUGCAAGUCGAACGGAAAGGCCCUUUCGGGGGUACUCGAGUGGCGAACGGGUGAGUAACACGUGGGUGAUCUGCCCUGCACUUCGGGAUAAGCUUGGGAAACUGGGUCUAAUACCGGAUAGGACUACGGACUGCAUGGUCUGUGGUGGAAAGCUUUUGCGGUGUGGGAUGGGCCCGCGGCCUAUCAGCUUGUUGGUGGGGUGAUGGCCUACCAAGGCGACGACGGGUAGCCGGCCUGAGAGGGUGUCCGGCCACACUGGGACUGAGAUACGGCCCAGACUCCUACGGGAGGCAGCAGUGGGGAAUAUUGCACAAUGGGCGCAAGCCUGAUGCAGCGACGCCGCGUGGGGAUGACGGCCU
rnacentral:rRNA from 1 species